rnacentral:lncRNA from 1 species
AGAGGAUAGCCGCAUUCUUUCUAAUGCACAUUUUGGGAGUGGCGCACAUCGCUAUUGCUCACAUCCGUUGGCCAGAACUUAGUCGCGAGAAGCCACUUGGCUGCAAGGGAGACUGGGAAAUGUAGUUUUUAGCUGGGAAGCCACAUGCUCAGCUAAACUCUAUUAUAAGGGAAGAAGGGGAAAAUAGAUACUGGGGAACAACUCAGUCUCUUUCACUAAGAGCGAUGGGAAAGAGUGAAAGGAAAAGACGUGUGAGGUAGGGUGAAAGGCUCCCACUUCCAGGCAGGGCGAUGAGGGAGAAGGAUGCUGUGUGCUGAGGUGAAAGCCACUUUCAUUGUGGUAAGAGACAGGAAACUUGGUGUGAGAAAAUGCCUGAGGGUGGAAGGCAGUGGACCAGUGGUGCACAGUGCAUGUAGAGAGAGGACAUAAUGGAGUGUUCAGAAGGGCCACUCCCUCAGGACACAUAAACUGCAUGUCAGGAGCCAAGGUCAUGCGCUCCCACCCCUGCCUCCAGGAGAAAGACUUUCC